GUAAUGAUGGCCAGGCUGUCUCCACCCGAGACUCAGUGAAAUUGAACUCGCUGUGAAGAUGCAGUGUACCCGCGGCAAGACGGAAAGACCCCGUGAACCUUUACUAUAGCUUGACACUGAACAUUGAGCCUUGAUGUGUAGGAUAGGUGGGAGGCUUUGAAGUGUGGACGCCAGUCUGCAUGGAGCCGGCCUUGAAAUACCACCCUUUAAUGUUUGAUGUUCUAACGUUGGCCCCUGACCGGGGUUGCGGACAGUGUCUGGUGGGUAGUUUGACUGGGGCGGUCUCCUCCUAAAGAGUAACGGAGGAGCACGAAGGUUGGCUAAUCCUGGUCGGACAUCAGGAGGUUAGUGCAAUGGCAUAAGCCAGCUUGACUGCGAGCGUGACGGCGCGAGCAGGUGCGAAAGCAGGUCAUAGUGAUCCGGUGGUUCUGAAUGGAAGGGCCAUCGCUCAACGGAUAAAAGGUACUCCGGGGAUAACAGGCUGAUACCGCCCAAGAGUUCAUAUCGACGGCGGUGUUUGGCACCUCGAUGUCGGCUCAUCACAUCCUGGGGCUGAAGUAGGUCCCAAGGGUAUGGCUGUUCGCCAUUUAAAGUGGUACGCGAGCUGGGUUUAGAACGUCGUGAGACAGUUCGGUCCCUAUCUGCCGUGGGCGCUGGAGAACUGAGGGGGGCUGCUCCUAGUACGAGAGGACCGGAGUGGACGCAUCACUGGUGUUCGGGUUGUCAUGCCAAUGGCACUGCCCGGUAGCUAAAUGCGGAAGAGAUAAGUGCUGAAAGCAUCUAAGCACGAAACUUGCCCCGAGAUGAGUUCUCCCUGACUCCUUGAGAGUCCUGAAGGAACGUUGAAGACGACGACGUUGAUAGGCCGGGUGUGUAAGCGCAGCGAUGCGUUGAGCUAACCGGUACUAAUGAACCGUGAGGCUUAACCUUACAACGCCG
rnacentral:rRNA from 1 species